ensembl:lncRNA
GGAAGGAAGCGGAAGGAGACCUCAGCAGCAAACAUGUGACAAGACGCACUCAUGGAGGUGUGCAGGAAGACAAAAGAGGUUGCUCAUGUUCUUCUUUGCCGUAAGAGACGGUCUUGCUCUCCUAUGGCGAGGUUGCCGCACAAGGUGGCUUAAAAAGCAUUGAGCAUGUGAUGCUUCGCCAAUGCGGGCGAGCUGACAACGGAUGAGGUGUUAAUCAGCAGGAAAGACAAAGGCCAGGUGAGACCGAGGCAAACGAAACACGCAUCAGCUCGACGAUUCCAAUCAAGACUGCAUUCUUUGCGGAGCUAUUUCAACAAGAGGGUGCUGAGGAAUCGCUCAUGAUUUCCCCUUUUUUCCUGUGUGUGUCUGUGUGUGAGAGCCCAUCCCCCCUUUAGUCCCUGCAGCGAGAGCAGGCGGGCUGGUGGAGUUGGGGGCAGGGCGCCUCCCUUUCUUUCAGCCUCCGGAGCCUGCUGACAGCUGCUCGGGGAGGCCUGGGGGCCUGCUGCUCACCACAGCCACAUCCUGGAAGAUUCAGGAUACAUGCGUGCUCACGUGCGCCAGCGGCUCGGAGCAACGUGAAACAAAAAGCGGCCCCGACAAAGACCAAAGGCCCUGGUGUUUACUCAAUCUGUCCACUUGUGUUAAUAUUGGAGGGAUCCCUCGUGGCCGCGAGAGGGACAGGACACACAAACGCGCCGUUUAAAGGUUUAAGUCCAUCACAAGCCGACGGCUGCUUCCUGUCGGCGGCCCAAGCUCUAAUUACCCGGGUCCCCGCGGCUUGACCUGUAGGCUGUCACGUCUAAAGCGCUAACCGCGCCCAGGUUGUGGAGAAAUGUUUGUAGUCUCCUCGUGGAAUUGCGUGGCGGGAGUUUGGAAGAGGCCAUGUGUGGCAAUGAUGAGAUUAGCAAAAAUAAAACAAAAUAUUUCACAUUAUAUGCUUGAUCAGAGCUAGAAUCAUCAUUGGUGGUGUUUGUUAACCUUAUGAUAUUAUAUAUGCAAAGAUUAAGCGAGGCUGCGACCAGAUAUUGAUGCCACUAAAUGUGUUCACGUGUUUAACUUGGAUCAAUAGAGAAAGUAGAAGCCUGACCGGCUAACUUCAACUGUCCAUACCGAUGACAGGAGUGAGAAAUGUCUCUGAGGCAUCAAGGACAAGAGGAGGAGAUAACUGCCGCGUGCAGGGCUGUUGGAUGCGUGCCAAGGGUUCUGCUUUUGAAGCCACCGUGCCAUUUGCACAGUGUCUCCGGGGACUGGUGGAAGACGCCAAAUGAACCACAACACGCCAGGCUGGGUGGGGAUCAUUUUCCUCAUGACUGUACAGCUUUGCGGAGCACAUUUCCACACACCACGAGCAAAGGCAUCCUCUGCGGUGUUCAGAUGGAAGUGUGUUUGUGAGAUGAUCUUUUUAGCUCGAGCUCAUAAAAGUCCGUCCUCAGAGAAGUCCAAAUGAACCAAAGACAAUUUUACCUCAUCAUUUUGACAAAGCAUGAAGAAACGCUGUGUUAACACGAGUAUUAGUCUCACUAUUUGUACACUCACUUCCUCUGCGGCUCAUUCGGUCUGCUGUGCCGCACCUCCGUGAGUAAUCUCAAGUCCCGGAAAAUAUUCCCAUUACCAUUCACAUCAUGUUACCGCUAACACGGGACCACCCAAAGGGCCUAAUCUGGGGUACACAGCAGACAUGUGGUCUGAACAAUGUCGAGGCAGGUUUGACUUUCUUAGCCCUGGCUCUCCUCCUGCGAGCAUCCCCUCACACAGACAGGCCAGGCUUCCUCCACAGUUAAUUACGGCCACAGCUUGCAUGGAGGCAUAUCAUUAGCAGUAAUUGCACACGGCAUCCCAUUGCCAUGUGCCUCCCUUUUCUUUUUUUUUUCCCCCUGUCCCAGAUUUACGCUGCACUGAUCCAUGAAGGAAGAGUGCAGCCCUCCACAUGCUCUGAAUGGACAACUACAAGGCUUUUGUGCGCGAGCGUGGGCUCGGAAAUACAGCAGCGAGUCCGGGAACAGGGCUUCAGAGAGGGCUGGAUGCAGAUAAAAAAAAAAAAGGAAUAGCCACAUGUGGAUAGAUGGCACAUUCAGCUGCAGGAAAUACAGGGAUUAGCGUGAGGCGGAGGGUGUUUGUUGUGUAAGCAAGUAAAAAGGUGCAGGUUUUUAUAUCAACAGCGGGCGCAGGUUGAAGAACCGGUCGGCACACGUUGAAGCAUAAACUCAGUUUCAAAUCAAAACACAAUAAGCCGGUUUCAUCUCUGCAGCCUGUGCAGAUGGAAAGGAGUGGGCGGCUGUAGCACGCCACCGCACACCACCUGUACGGACUGCUGGGCUUACGUAACAUCUAGGGGGGGGGGGGUCGAGCGCUUCAGAGAGUUCUCUUCAGUCUUCCAUCUCCAACAAUCCUGGUGUUACAUACGACUCAUAACGGUCCAUAGCACAGCAUUGAUGCUAGUUCGACGAUUUAAGAGACAGAACACAAGCAAAUGAAGAAAGACGGGCGCAACAUUAAGGAAAGAUACAGUCUGAGGAAAUAAAAUGAGUAAAUUAAGCUCAAGUGUUCGUAUGCUUUCACAUGGGUGAAUGUCCACAUUGCUAAUGAAUAAAAGGUCUUAGAAUCGCAGAUAUCGUUUGCAUGUGAAUGCCAACAUGUCGCUUGUGAUUAAACGUGAGCAGACGUUUUCUCCCUUCCAGGCCUGGAGGGAAACCACAGUGGAAGGCUGCGUUGGCUCCUCCUCAGUAAAAGCUGCCCUCCAGAAUGGUAAACCUCCCUCCGCUGCGCUCCAUCCCCCCACCGGGCCUCACCUGCCGGCGCACGCAGCCAAACACGGACCGGGAUAGCGAGGACUUGCCAGCAGUAGGAAAACCAAUAAAGCUGUAAUAAACAGAGUUUGUUUGAGUUUAUCUGAAGUAUAAAUCAGAGCUCUGUUUGCAGCAGGACACUGACCUUUAACCAUGAAUAACAGAUUC